GCACUGCUGAAGAGUUCCACAAUAAGACGAAAUGAACGUCCAGUGC
rnacentral:hammerhead_ribozyme from 1 species